AUCACCUGGGGAUCUUAUUAAAAAUGCAGAUUCCCAUUCAGUAGUUUGGGAAGGAGGGCCUUUGAUUUUGCAGUUCUAAUAAGCUCCCAAGUGAUGCUGA
rfam:Myotis lucifugus cont2.2309, whole genome shotgun sequence.